rnacentral:rRNA from 1 species
UACGUAGGUGGCAAGCGUUGUCCGGAUUUACUGGGCGUAAAGAGCGCGCAGGCGGUCGUUCAAGUCGCGUGUGAAAGCCCCCGGCUCAACUGGGGAGGGUCACGCGAUACUGAUCGACUCGAAGGCAGGAGAGGGUAGUGGAAUUCCCGGUGUAGUGGUGAAAUGCGUAGAUAUCGGGAGGAACACCAGUGGCGAAGGCGACUACCUGGCCUGUUUCUUGACGCUGAGGCGCGAAAGCUAGGGGAGCAAACGGGG